rnacentral:rRNA from 1 species
GCCAGACUCCUACGGGAGGCAGCAGUGGGGAAUAUUGCACAAUGGGGGGAACCCUGAUGCAGCGACGCCGCGUGAGUGAAGAAGUAUUUCGGUAUGUAAAGCUCUAUCAGCAGGGAAGAAAAUGACGGUACCUGACUAAGAAGCCCCGGCUAACUACGUGCCAGCAGCCGCGGUAAUACGUAGGGGGCAAGCGUUAUCCGGAUUUACUGGGUGUAAAGGGAGCGUAGACGGCAGAGCAAGUCUGAAGUGAAAGCCCGCGGCCCAACUGCGGGACUGCUUUGGAAACUGCCCGGCUAGAGUGCUGGAGAGGUAAGCGGAAUUCCUAGUGUAGCGGUGAAAUGCGUAGAUAUCACGAAGAACCCCGAUUGCGAAGGCAGCCUGCCGCAGCGUUACUGACGCUGAAGCUCGAAAGCGCGGGUAUCGAACAGGAUUAGAUACCCCGGUAU